GCUUUAAUACAUGCAAGUCGAGCGAGAAAAUUUCUUCGGAAAUGAGUAAAGCGGCGAACGGGUGAGUAACGCGUAGGAAUCUACCAUUCAGCGGGGGAUAGCUCGAGGAAACUCGAAUUAAUACCGCAUACACCCUACGGGGGAAAGAAGGCCUAUCCUUGGAAGCUUUCACUGUUUGAUGAGCCUGCGUGAGAUUAGUUUGUUGGUGAGGUAAUGGCUCACCAAGACUACGAUCUCUAGCUGGUCUGAGAGGACGAUCAGCCACACUGGGACUGAGACACGGCCCAGACUCCUACGGGAGGCAGCAGUAGAGAAUAUUGGACAAUGGGGGCAACCCUGAUCCAGGCAUGCCGCGUGUGUGAAGAAGGCCUUAGGGUUGUAAAGCACUUUAGGUAAGGAAGAAAAGUUAAUAGUUAAUACCUGUUGACCGUGACAUUACUUACAGAAUAAGGACCGGCUAACUCCGUGCCAGCAGCCGCGGUAAUACGGAGGGUCCAAGCGUUAAUCGGAAUUACUGGGCGUAAAGCGCGCGUAGGCGGUAUGCUAAGUUGGGUGUGAAAUCCCCGGGCUUAACCUGGGAACUGCAUUCAAAACUUGCAUGCUGGAGUACGGAAGAGGCGAGUAGAAUUCAUGGUGUAGCGGUGAAAUGCGUAGAUAUCAUGAGGAAUACCAAUGGCGAAGGCAACUCGCUGGUCCGUAACUGACGCUGAGGUGCGAAAGCGUGGGUAGCAAACAGGAUUAGAUACCCUGGUAGUCCACGCCGUAAACGAUGAGAACUAGCCGUUGGAUCCUUGAGAUUCAGUGGCACAGCUAACGCAUUAAGUUCUCCGCCUGGGGAG
rnacentral:rRNA from 1 species